UUCUGCCCUCCUUCUGGUGGUGAAGAUGGAGGCCUUGAGAAGGAUGGAGCCGGAUAGGUGUUGGGAUGGGAAGAGGAAACACCUGAGUCACUUUCCUGCGCUGGCCGGGGCACGAUGCUUCACUUUGGCUCAGAUGGGAGGAGGAGCCUAGCAGCCAGUGGGCUCUACACAUGUCUGAAUCAUGCAGAAGACCCAACUCCUUACCAAGGCUUGCAUGGAGCGGAGACUCCAAGUUCUGUUUGGAAGGUCCAUGGAGUAGCAGUUGGCUUAAAAAAGUGGGUGAUCAUGGGGCAUGCCUGAAUGUGUCUGGAAGCUACAUUUGCAGCACCUUGUGAAUGAUUCCGUCAUACUACGAUUCCAAAAAACAGAAACCACAAUCAAGGACCUUGCCCACAUUUCCCCUGGCUCCCUCUGCCCCCUGACCAACCCUGGUGCUUUCCCAUGUAGCCCUGCAUGGCCUGGUGUCCUCCCUCAUCUUGGGAAUUGUAUCAAAGCUGAAGAUGUGCACAUCCUUUGACUGGCCAUUCUCAUUCAAGGAGCCUAGAUGACUACUCCCAGGAAUGCACACUGAGCAAGGAGUAACAAUUAUUUCCAACAUUUAUUGAGUGGCUACUCUAUGCCCAUCAUGUUCUAGGUACUAGGAUGCAUUUAGAUGAGCAAUUCAGAUCACGUUCCUUUUUUCACGGAGCCAACAGUCUUGUGGGGCUGUAAUCAUAACACAAGUUGAGAGUAAGAAAGUUCCCACAAGCUUAGGAAAAGACAGAUUGGUCUGCAGCCAGGGAAACAAGUAGCCAUCAGAGUCAGUUUUAAACCUGUUCAACUGAUCAAUGACAGCUCGCCUCAGCAAACCCGCUUUUGCAAGCCAAACAAUCAGUGUCAGCACUUUGCUUUGGAAAGUCAGCUGAUGAAAGAGCCCAUCAAGGAUGGACUCACUCUGAUAAACACGCCUCUGAGUGCCAACCAAUUAACAAGGGUCUCACUUGAGAGACCACAGUUCUACAGAUGAUGUUGACCUGUUUAUGUCUCUGAAGGCCUGCCAACCCCUGAACUCCAAACCCUGUAUAAAAUCAGUCCAUCCUGCACAGGGAGACUGCCUGACUAGUAUAGCUCUCCCUUCUUAUGGUAAAAAAUAAACUCAGCACUGUCCUUUUAUUUCAGAUAUUGAGUUGUAUUAGUCUACUAGGACCACCAUAACAAAGUACCACAGACUGAGCAGCUUAAACCACAGGAAUUUAUUGUCUCACAAUUCUGGAAACUAGAAGUCUGAGAUCAAGGUGUCACUAGGAGUGGUUCCUUCUGAAGCCUCUGUCCUUGGCUUGUAGACAGCCUCCUUCUCCCUAGGCCCUCACACGGUCUUCCCUUACCUGUGUAUGUCCAAAUUUCCUCUUCUUUUAAGGACGCCUGUCAUUGUAUUAGGGCCCACCCUAGGGACCUCAUUUUACCUUAUCUACCUCUUUAAAGGCCCUAUCUCCAAAUACAGUCACAUUCUGAGGGGUUAGAACUUCAGCAUAGGAAUUUGGGGAGGUGUAAUUCAGUCCAUAACAGAGUAGCAGUCUCAUUGUGUUUUGACAAAGUGAAUACACAACUAUGGGUAUGGUUAUAGAUUAUUUCUGCAUUUCUGAGCUCUCUGUGCUUUCCUGGGAACACAUUUGUUUCCUCCAAUGGGAGAUACAAAGUCCUUAUUAUCCCUGGUUUUUGGAUACAUUCCAGUGAGUUCUCCAUAUGAGCCAAAUUCAUUUCACGUAAAUUCUCUAUAUUCUGGAGUGUCCACUCAUUGUUUGCCUGGCACUCACAUCUGGGACAAUAUCAACUUGAAGAAUCCCUGUAAGGAGUGGAUUUCUUGUUCUCAGGGAGUAAAACUUUGCCUGGUCAUUAACCUCCAAAGUCUCUGGGAAUCGAAGUCCCACCUACACAUCCCUUGGGGAAAGGGAAUGCCUGUCACAGUUGUAAGGCAGAAGCAUGGAUGUCAACACAACACUCUGCUGGCCAGUCUCCAUAGACCACAAGCCAAGAAGUCCUGUCGAUGAUGCACCUCCUCCUUCAGACCAGUUCUCUUUACCUCCUUUGCUGGCCCCCCUGGUCUAUGCCACCCUCAUCUUUCUCAUGGAUUACUCCAUUGAUCCGCUGGUUGCAUCCCUGCUUCCAUUCCUGCUACCCUCCAAUCGAUCCCUCACACAAAUAAGAUUUUACCACUCCCUUGCUUCAAACCAACCAAUACCUCCUCAUUGCUAUUAGAAAAAAAUCUAAGCUCCUUUAUGAAAAGCCAUUAGGCUUAAAAGCAGUGGGAGCUCUAGAAUUGCCACCAUGGAGGGCUUAGGGAAACAAUUUAGUUACAUAGGAGGGGAGAGGCUAUUCGACUUUUCUUGAAGCUGCGUUUGUACUGUUUUUCUAACUGUGAUACAAUAUAACUCAUCACAAAAGCAGAUGAUGGCUAUGAAUAUUGCUCUGUGUGUGUGUGUGUGUGUGUGUGUGU
ensembl:lncRNA